rnacentral:rRNA from 1 species
UCCAGGCGNGACGGGUGCCGGCCUGAGAGGGUGACCGGCCACACUGGGACUGAGACACGGCCCAGACUCCUACGGGAGGCAGCAGUGGGGAAUAUUGCACAAUGGGCGAAGCCUGAUGCAGCGACGCCGCGUGAGGGAUGACGGCCUUCGGGUUGUAAACCUCUUUCAGUAGGGAAGAAGCGAAAGUGACGGUACCUGCAGAAGAAGCACCGGCUAACUACGUGCCAGCAGCGACCGGUAAUACAA